CUCUCCCAUCUCUCCCAUCUUCUUCCUCCCGAUGCAUCCACUGGCGUGACAAGCCUCCUCUUCCUCCCUAGCCCUAGGUCGCUGGGCCCCUUUUCGAGUUGCCGCCGGUUCAUCUUCUGUGCCAUACCCGGUCGGCCGCCCCCGGGUUGCCUUGGCUGACGCUCCAGCACGGAGGUCAAUCUGGACGGACGGCAGUUCAUGCACUCCGAUGAAGUCGUUCUCCAUGUCUCGCGUGGCCCACCUCCUCCGCCGCAUAAUACUAAGAAUACGGCGAGACAGUCGCAUCGGUGAUCGCGAUGGCGAUUUUUCACCAGGAGACCUAGAUCUUCACGCAUUGAGAAUGGAGACGCAGGAACAGCACGGGGUCUGAGCGGCGCGGGCGCCCGUGAGGCCUGCUGUCGAGUGUCGGCACCUGCGGCAAGGACCGAAACAUCUCAACAUCCAGUGGCGAGGACCGCUUCCUCCUCCCUUCGUUUUUUUUCUCUCUCUCUGACCUCACCUCCUCCUCGCUCUCUCAUCCUGCGGCGCAGGCGUCGAGGACGGAGACCUCGACCACAUCCCCAACAGAGACACCAGCGGCUGCGCCGUGAUAGAGAAGGAGCGGGUGCCGCAGUCAUCACGCAGUCUUUCCGCAGUAGGCAGUAGCGUCUGCGAAGAUGCAGACUUCAAGAGGCGGGAAAAAACUAGAGCUCAACGUCCACCGGCGGGUCUUCGAACCCAGACGAGCGGCGACCGCGUCAUCUGGUCGCCAGCGCGUUCCUGAAUCCACGACGAGUGGCGUUCCUGAAUCCACGACGAGUGGCAGCAUCUGGCCGUGCGUAGGCGGCUUGCAGAUAAGCAUAUUGAAGGUUCAUGAGUUUGAUGUACUAGAUGGAGAAGUACGGUUCAGAAUCUGCAGGUAAGACAACCAUUGAAUGAUAAUAAGUUGGCAUCAACUUUAUUUUCUCAUGUGGGUUCUCUGAGAAGCAUGCAUAAAUCGUGUUUUAACUGCUGCUUUUUGGGUACAAUGCUUACAGGAAAUUUAUCUAUACGGAUGUGUCACAUAAAUGAUGAAAGUGUAUGGCUCCCGGUAGAUAAAACUGUCAUGUUGUUUCACUUUGAUCAUCUAAUCUUUUUUGUUGAGUGCAUGUUAUUAUUAGUUGGUUGCUUUCUUAGGGAAAUUAGUUCUCAGCAGAUGCAUCUUAUUACUACAUUGGGUAACCUUUUGCCACCGUCGCUAUAAGUAUUGCAGUUCUUUUAAUUCCAAAGAGAAGCCAAAAAUAUCCAAGGAACGUCUCGCCCUUAGGGUUAUUGGAACAACACUGACUAAAUUUGAGCACCAACACACUUUAAAAUACAAUGUGCACUUCCUAUCUCAUAGCCGUGGAAUUCCCUUACUGUUACUCUCUAGAUACCUAAAAGGGAGUUUGUAUUUGAAUAGGAUUUUCGAAAAAUGAGAUGCUAUGGGUAUGUACUACUCCCUCCGUCCCAAAAUGGAAGGCACACUUUAUUUUACAUCCAGUAUUGGCAUUGUACUUGUGCAAUAUGCCAGUUUAGUCCCACUCUGUUUGAAAUAAUUUGUUCAAGUGUCAGGUAGUUUCCAUUGGUCUCUGAAUCUGCCUAACUAGAGUAAUCAUGUUCUACGUACAACCAGCAGUUUUUAACAUCAAAAGAGGAACAAGAAUUAAUUGAGCUUCUUGAUUGUAAAUUCAACUAAUAUAGUUUAAUGCUCACACUUUAGGAGGGAAAGUAAUUAAGGGCCUCCUAGCAUUGUUGGGGUCUCCUAUCACUGUUGGAUUUUUAUUUUCAGUUACCUAAAUUACAUUGAUCUGAAAAAAGAGAAGGACAUUUCUGAAUUGAUACUACAUAAGCAUGAGCCAUAUAUGCCUGUAGAGGGAGUAUUUGUAUCACUAAGCAUGCUUUUUUUUUCUUGCUCAGAAUUUCAAUAAGCUCUUCUUACGAAUUUUUAUUUUUCCAGUCAUGGGUAAUAUUAUUUAACUUUGAAUGCAGGAGAAGAAAUUUAGCAACCUGACCGAACUAAUGAAAUUGUUGCAACACUUGGGUUAUUUUCUGGAGAGGAUGGCAAAGAGGAGGCCCAGAAAAUCACCAGUUCUGAACUACAAGAGUACAGACCAUUGACCAAGGAAAAAGAAGAGGAUCAUAUCAAGCGCGCCAUUGAAUAGUCGCUGCUAUCAGCCUGGGCCAUAGCUGUCCCGUGAGCCCUCGAUGUCGCUUGAUUGGUGAAGGCCGACAAGGCCACCGCGCCGAUGGGUGUUGUCUUCACCGCUGACGACAAUGUUGUGCAUCCAACGAAGGAAACAAUAGUUCCGGGGCCCUCAAUCAAGGGAAGGACAUGGCCAUCUUUUCUUCUGACCAUGAAGACGACUACUGGGGCUAAAGAUUAUCAGGUCGUAAGAAAAGUAUUAAGGAGCUGUCCUACCAUACUGUCCUACUAUCCACUUCUACGCUUUAUUAGUAAAUGUUUGCUCUGUUUUAGGUUUGAGUAAAUCCAUGGCUUGCAGUAAACUGAUAUCUCCCUGACUUCCUGUACGAAUGUGGUGAGUUACAACAAACUCAAAGGAUCAGCAAAUGAGCAGAAUGUGAUGAGUUACAUUUUAUUCUCGUGGACCAUGAGGGAAACACAAUGGAAGGACACAUACCAGGCAAACGUAUAGAUCAGUUCAAGGACCCCCUAAAAGAAGGUUCAGUGUAUACCAUAUAGAACUUCAUCUUUGCAGAUGCACCCAAGAAAUACAGGACAACGGAUCAGCAGUAUAGAUUCAAAUUUACUCAGUGCACCAAGGAUGCCAGCUCCACCUCUGAAAAAAGAAAAGGAAGGCCAAAGCAUUGGCUACUACACCAGGCAAAAGCAGAUUAACAAAGAGCUCUUCCGGCGACAGGUAAACACCAGACUUCAAUACAAUUGAAAGAGCUGAUGAUAUGCAAUUCUGCUUACUUAAGGAUGCCAGCUCCACCUCUGAAAAAAGAAAAGGAAGGCCAAAGCAUUGGCUACUACACCAAGCAAAAGCAGAUUAACAAAGAGCUCUUCCGGCGACAGCUAAACACCAGACUUCAAUACAAUUGAAAGAGCUGUAGCAUCGUUGCCAAGAAAAUGGUUCGUGCUGACAUAUUUGUAAAUAAAGCAUAUGAAGAGUGGAUGCAUGAUGUAGGAUAUGAUAAUCUGUCGGAACCAGAAGUCAUACAGCAGCAGCUCCAACAAGUAACCAUGCUUCACAUGGUUCGAUCAAUCCACAUAAACAAUUACCGUGGUCUCAAAAUUGAUUUCCGCUGUUCCUACUCUACCUACAACCACAUAUCAGAAUUUACAUAAGGGAACAUAUUUGUUCACGGUGGAUUAUUUGACAUUGUACUGACAAUGUUACAUACUCAUAUUAAAAGCAUGUACACUCCA